CUAUGAUUGGCAAACUGAAGACAUCAAUAUAUCCAGCAGAGAAUCCAGAAUACUUCUCAAGGUGGCAUCUACCUUGGGAUCCAUAGUGGGACAGAGGUGGCAGUAAGAAUAAGCUCCAGUACAGAGGGUGACAAAGAGAAAAGGUUCUUUGAACAAUGUAAUAACUGUGAACUGAAGCUCUUCCAGUUUGAGAAAGCAAAAGGCUACGUGUACUUACGCUUCCCCCUCUGGGAGAAAAAUCUUGAACAACAUCUGCAGGAAACAGAAGGCCAAAUGGAUUGCAAAGGUGCUCUGAGGAUGAUCUUCCAGGCAGUGAGGGAGCUGCACUCCCUUGGAUUUGCUCACCAGGAUCUGCAUCCCAGCAACUUUUUGAUAGAUUUAGGUGGCAAAAUUUACCUUGCUGACUUCAAUAAUAAAAGGAGGUUGAUUGAAGACAAACAAGAGCUUGUAAACUCAGAUUUAGAGGUAACUUCUCUGCAAAUCAAUGAAUGGUUUAAAAUGUCAGGUGUUCUCUGAUAUUUUCUGUAGCUGUGAAACCUAGGGGGAAGCCUUUCUGUGUCCUCAAUUAGAAACCAUUUUGAUUUCUGGGAAAGCCCAAAGCACUGCCUCAGGAUGAUAGUGGCUAGGAUGCAAGGCUAUAGCUGGUGAUAGGAUAUCCAGAGAACCCUGUGAACAUGAUUAUGGUGCCUGUCUCCUCUGUGCAUACAGCUUCCAAGUUUGUGUUUCUAUGUAUUUGCAGACUUCUGCACAUCUAUAGGUGCACAUGCGUGUUCACAUAUACAGUCAGCUUAUUUAGGAAUAACAGUCCUUCUCCAUUUGGUAAGAAGUUUCACACAUCUGGCAUGUGAACAGUGAUGUGUUUCUUUGCAGGCCCUCAGCAGUCUUGUGCUGUAUGUUUUAACAUGGGGUAGGAAGCCCCUUCAGCAAGUCAGUGCUGAAGAUUUAGUUGCCGAUUCCCCAGAUUACAAGGAGGCUCUGGAUCUUGUAAGUAGCCUGGUGUCUCAUGAUGAAUGAGGCUUGGAAGGUUUGAGCGUACAUCCGUAUUUCUGGAGCAAACAGAUCAGGUUCAAUUUCCUGAAGACUAUAUGGAAUAAAGUCAAAGAUCUCCACAAUCAGAAAGCUGUCUUUCAAGCUCCUAAUGCUACUGAAAGUUUUCCUUGUCCAUGGUAGACCAAGGAAAUUAACAGAGAUGUUCUGAACAUCAUGGAAAAUCCCAAGAAAGGAAGAUCAUUCAAAUAUAGCAACAACGUCAGUGACCUACUGAGGUUCAUCAGAAACCUGAAUGAACAUCCAGAUAUCAGGCUCAGCAACAAAAUAGGAGACAAUGCUGAAUAUUUCUUGAAGCUUUUUCCAGCACUUACCAUUUAUGUGUACAACAGUUUAUGCCAGAAUCCUGAAUACAGUCACUUUGCAGAUAUUCAGUACUCUUUUCUGUAGGAUGUCAUUGCCUCCUGUCCCAUGUCCAAUCCCACCAUCGCUGCCUCAUUUUAUGCCCUAUUUCUUCGUCUGCAAAGGAGUGAAGAAAGUGGGUAAGGAGAUGGGAGAGAGCAGAUGCAGGGACAGAGUGUGGAGGACUUAAGUUAAGAAACUGAAGAUGCUUUCGAAGUGUUUGGUGUAACAGGUUUUGGAGAGGAACCAAGUUGAGUGCCAACCCAUGUCCCCCUUGACUACUCCAUCCCUCUGGACUUACCUGCAUCUGUAAGGUACAGAUCAAGGCCCUGAUCCUUAUGGAGAGCAGGGAGAUGUGGGACAGCCCCCAUAAACCUGAUGUGUCUGGGAGGCAAGAGAAGAGCUCGGGCAUUGCCAGAUGACAUUGGACUCUGCUAAAGGAAAAAGUUCAAACUCCUUGCUAGGGCAAAUAUUCCCUACAGUUUGUACUAAUGAGCUGCUCAUCUAACCCUAGAAAGACAAGAAUCUUGUCUUUUCAGUCUUUCUGAAACACAGCAGCCAUAAGAUGCCUAGGCAAUGGCUCAUUAUUCAUCUGAUCUGUUAAAGGUGCACUCAGGCCAGCCUGCUGGGACCUGAAGGACUUCUUUUGAGUAACACAGGAGAUGUUUCCACAAGGAAUGGGUGCAAGGAGCACAAUUCCACGAAACUGCUACUGUUCCUGACUCAGCUGAAGAAGGUCACUGACAUCAAAGGGACUCCAGGGACUGGUUCCUCCUGGAAAGGACAAGCUCUGUUGUGGCAGGCUGCAUCUGCAAGGCUUCAGCACUUCUGUCUCCAAACCAGUGCCACUUCCUGGGUAUUACUGUCCUGCCAGAUUUGGCUCACUUCCACAGCGCUGGUGCCCAUACAGCUGCAGCAUGCAGCCAGAUCAGAGGUCUUGUAUUGGAGGCUCAUAGCACAAACCCAUUUCUGAAAUCCUACAGCAUGCAGUGUGUGUCUGAUUGUCCAAGGGCUUGCUUGUUUCUCCACUAAUGCUCUGAUUUGCACAAUGAUUACAUGUUGUGUAUGGAAAUAUUUCUCAGCUGUUGAAAAGAUUCCUUAAUUUUUUUCAGACUGAGAUUGUUAUUCUUUCAAUUAGCCUGUGGAGACCCAAACUUGGAAUAAACUUGCCUGGAAAACUGA